CUGGAAUGCUCUUAGUCCUUAGAGGUUGAUCAUUAAAGAGUAGCUAACACUGUUGGCUUUGUUCAGUCAGUCUCUCAGGAGACAGCUUGAAUUCCCAAUCUUCCUGCUGGGGUGAAUGGGUCUCACCACCAUGCCUGAACACAGCAGAUGAAAUUUGGGAUUUGUAAUCCUAAUCUGCCUUUCAUGGAAAAUGAAACAUGGAACUUUCCCUUGAUGUAUGGUCAUCAGAAACACGGCCUGAUGGAAAGCUCAAGAUGACUGCACACAUUAUCAGAGCUGUGAGAGGUUCUGGGAACAAAUUCUGAUCUUCCUGGUCUUCCAGACUGUGACAAGUACUUUACUGAGGAAGCUUUCCAGUACCACUCUGCAGUCCUAACCUCCCCCACCCCCCCUUUGAGACAGGCUUUCACUCUGUAAUUUAGAAUGGUCUAGAACUCACUAUGCAGCUCAGGCCGGCCUUGAGUUUGUAGUAAUUCUCCUGUCCUGUCCUCUGAACACUGGAAUUAAAUCCUGAUUCACCACCACUUAGCCUUUUGGAAAAGAUUUCUAAUAAAUGUUUGUAGCAGG
rnacentral:lncRNA from 1 species